UACGCAGGGUGCGAGCGUUGUCCGGAAUUAUUGGGCGUAAAGAGCUCGUAGGCGGUGUGUCGCGUCGGCCGUGAAAACCUGGGGCUUAACUCUGGGCGUGCGGUCGAUACGGGCAUCACUAGAGUUCGGCAGGGGAGACUGGAAUUCCUGGUGUAGCGGUGAAAUGCGCAGAUAUCAGGAGGAACACCGGUGGCGAAGGCGGGUCUCUGGGCCGAUACUGACGCUGAGGAGCGAAAGCAUGGGUAGCGAACAGG
rnacentral:rRNA from 1 species